GACGAACGCUGGCGGCGUGCUUAACACAUGCAAGUCGAACGGAAAGGCCUGCUUUCCCUUGUGGAUUGCGGGUACUCGAGUGGCGAACGGGUGAGUAACACGUGAGUGAUCUGCCCCCAACUUGGGUAUAAGCCUGGGAAACUGGGUCUAAUUCCCGAUAGGACUGCAGGGUGGUGCCUGUGGUGGAAAACGAUUUUCUAGUGGUUGGGGAUGAGCUCGCGGCCUAUCAGCUUGUUGGUGGGGUAAUGGCCUACCAAGGCGGCGACGGGUAGCCGGCCUGGGAGGGUGGACGGCCACAUUGGGACUGGGAUACGGCCCAGACGCCUACGGGAGGCAGCAGGGGGGAAUAUUGCACAAUGGGCGGAAGCCUGAUGCAGCGACGCCGCGUGGGGGAUGACGGCCUUCGGGUUGUAAACUCCUUUCGACCGCGAGGAAGCCACCUGGUUGGAAGGGUGGUGACGGUAGUGGUAGAAGAAGCACCGGCUAACUACGUG
rnacentral:rRNA from 1 species